rnacentral:rRNA from 1 species
CGCGUAGGCGGCCUUGUAAGUCUCGUGUGAAAGCCCUCGGCUUAACUGAGGAUCUGCACGGGAUACUGCGAGGCUUGAGUUCGGGAGAGGAAAGCGGAAUUCCGGGUGUAGCGGUGAAAUGCGUAGAUAUCCGGAGGAACACCAGUGGCGAAGGCGGCUUUCUGGACCGACACUGACGCUGAUGCGCGAAAGCUAGGGAGCAAACG